AAUACUGCAAGUAAAAGUCCUGAAUUCAAAAUGUUACUUAAGCUUCCAAAUUAAAAGUACUCUUUUUACAGAAUGGCACCUUUAAAAGUGUAAUGUCAUUAUAGAACAUCUUUUUUUGUGUUGUCAAUGCAGAGCCAAUUUCAAAUACUGUGUGUAUUACUGCGUAUAUUAGUAGUAGAAUACAUAUGUUUUGUUUUUUUUGGAGUAAAAAAAUAGCCUGUUUUUCCCUCUGGCAUUAAGUGGAGUAAAAGUAUAAAGUAGCGUAAAAUGACAAUACUCAAGUAAAGUACAAGUAUGUCAAUAUUGUACUUAAGGACAGUACUUAAUGUACUUAGUUAGAUUCCACUAAUGUUGAUCUCACACUGGUAGGUUAAAGCUAAGCCGGUUUCUUGUCUGAAAUCCCCUUUCACACAUGUAACACAACGCGUUCACUUCCUGGAAAUAAACUGUUUGGUUUAGUUGAGGGCUGUUGCUGGGUAGAGCAUGCUGGAGGCAGAACGUGACGCGGAUUACACUGCAGCCACGUAGCCAGUUCGUAAUUUGGUCAUAACAACAAGUCUUGCUGUCUCUCUCCGAUAGACAUUUGCGUAAUCCGGGCCAGUGUUCAGUGGUGUACUCUAUGUGAUACGCAGGUAUACACAGCAUACCCACAAAGAAAGCUCCAGGAUUUCCAUAUACCCACUUAAAAAAUGCCCAAUCACAUGUAACAACGUACUUUGCAUCAUUAUUUUUGAUAUAGUUUGAAUUGUCAUCUGGGUUUUUUUGCCACAUAGGCUAAUUAAAGGUAUUUUCAUGGUAAAUUGGUGCA